rnacentral:misc_RNA from 1 species
CGAGCGAAAGGAAUGAGUCGUCCCCUAUCCUGGUGAAGAAGGGAAAUGCAAGAAAUGGGAGUCCAACACUCUGGAGAAAAGCUAAAGAAAGAAAAAUUCUCUCUAAAACUAAAGAGAGAGAGCGCUAUGUAAAUUUAUGAUUCUUAUAGUUACUAAAAGGGAAAUAAAAUUUAUAUUUCUCUAUAUAAAUUUAAGAUUUUAACAGAUUUAUUUGGUAGUGGAG